AACCUCCCCCUAAAAAAACUUACCGUACUGUUAUGAAACUGAACAUCUCGACUGCACUGUCACCAAAAGACGAUCAUGACAAAAUCCUCAAAGCGAUGAAGGAUGAACUGAUUGCAAAAGGGUUCCCACCAGAUAUAACUUUACAUCUGCUGAGCAUGACUUCUGAGAAAGAAUU